rnacentral:rRNA from 1 species
GACGAGGGGUCCUAGCGUUGUUCGGAAUUAUUGGGCGUAAAGGGCGCGUAGCGGUGCCACAAGUCACUUGUGAAAUCCCCGGGCUUAACUCGGGGCCUGCAGGCGAAACGUGUGGGUGCUGGGAGUAUGGGAGAGGUGCGUGGAAUUCCCGGUGUAGCGGUGAAAUGCGUAGAUAGUCGGGACGGAACACCUGGUGGCGAAAGCGGCGCACUGGAACCAUGAACUGACGCUGGAGGCGCGAAAGCUAGGGGAGCAAACAGG